rnacentral:rRNA from 1 species
GACGAACGCUGGCGGCGUGCUUAACACAUGCAAGUCGAACGGAAAGGCCCCUUUGGGGGUACUCGAGUGGCGCACGGGUGAGUAACACGUGAGUAACCUGCCCUUGACUUCGGGAUAACUUCAGGAAACUGGGGCUAAUACCGGAUAGGAAUCCUUGCUGCAUGGUGGGGGUUGGAAAGCUUCGGCGGUUUUGGAUGGACUCGCGGCUUAUCAGCUUGUUGGUGGGGUAGUGGCUUACCAAGGCUUUGACGGGUAGCCGGCCUGAGAGGGCGACCGGCCACAUUGGGACUGGGAUACGGCCCAGACUCCUACGGGAGGCAGCAGUGGGGAAUAUUGCACAAUGGGCGGAAGCCUGAUGCAGCAACGCCGCGUGCGGGAUGACGGCCUUCGGGUUGGAAACCGCUUUCAGCAGGGGCGAAGCUUGUGGUGACGGUACCUGCAGAAGAAGCACCGGCUAACUACGUG